GUUGCCGCGGGGCGCGCCGGGUAAUCCGGCGGAAUCCCCACGCCGCAGCGCGGUGCGUCAUCGGGCAGCACGGGAGAGGCGGGGCCGCGCGUCCCCUCCGUCACCACGGCAACGCGCCGCGCGGAAACGAGGCCGGCGGAGCUUGAAGCCGUUCCCCCUUGUCCUAUCACUAUUAGACCGUGUGAAAAGUCAGUCCUCGUCCUGCUUGUAAGCUCCCUUUAAGUACUGGAAGGCAGCAACGAUCUCUCCUUGGAGCCUUUUCCAGGCUGAACAAGCCCAACUCCCUCAGCCUUUCUUCACAGGAGAGGUGCUCCAGCCCUCAGAUCGUCCUCGUGACCCUCCUCUGGACCAGCUCCAACAGCUCCAACAGCUGCACAUCCCUGCUGUGCUGGGGGUCUCAGGCCUGGACGUAACAUUCUAGAUGGGGCCUUAUAGGGCAGAGGGGGACAAAUGUCCCCGAGGCCACAGAUCUCAGUGCUGUCAGUGGGGCCGGGGAGAUGCCAAAGUUGAAUGGUAAAGCCCACCUACAAGUCCUGAGGACUGCUACCUGCCUCAUGGGGGCUGAUGGUAAAGGUGAACAAGAACAGGUCAAAUCUGGAUACAGCUAUGGUCAUGAACUUUGGUUUCUUCACUCCAUUUUUCUACACUUGAAGAUUCAGCAAGUUAAUAUGUUUUACCUUUAAACCAAGGUCAUCCCAUUUGUUCCAUUCUGAGCUCACACACGUACUUUGCCCAUUGCCUUCUAGGCCUGUCCUUACCCUCUGUCCCUUCCCUGUCAUUGUUUCUCUCACAAACAUCUCCCGAGUUGAUGUCCGCAUGGUGGUUAUUUGAGCCAAGUCCAGCAGAAAUGGUAACAGCUGAGAGAAGUCCUGAUACUAUUUGGAUGAUAUUCCCAAGUGUAUUACAUGUACGCAGCCUUCAGGUCUGCACUCAGGUAGUGAAAGGCUCAGAGUACUGCAAGCCCUGCCUACAUAGUGCCUUCUCUUACACAAUAGAGGACAGGUGCUCAGCUGGGCCCUACUUCAUGACCUUGGGAAUACUGUGCAAAACCGUCUGCUGUGCACCCAGCAAGUGCCGCCUGCACUGUGCCACGCGUCAGCAGGGAUAUUUCAAGAAAGCCUUCAAUCCUUGUGCCCCCAUAAAUUCUCCCAACCCUCCCUAUGCUGGAGUCAGAUAACAAGCAGGAGGACAAUGGCUCCAAGAAUCCAGGCUGCCCAUCUGCUCCCCACUUCCAGAUUCUUGCUUCUGCAGCGCCAGCUGAUGAAAUUUUCAUAGCUGAUGAGGUUUCCCAUUUCCACGGGGCCUUACUGCCUUGGAGACCUCACAGUUGUGGGCUGUUCAGGUUUCUGUGGGUGUGCACUGAUGGCAGCGAUGAUUAGAGUCCUUUCCUUUCUUAGAGUAGGAUCAUAGAACCGUAGAGAACCUAUGACAGAGGGUCUAUGGAAAGGACCUCCAAGCUUUUUACAAGUUUAGGUGCAAUAAGCCCUGCAGGAUGGAGAGAACUAGACUUUCAGAUGGCCUCAGCAUGUAAUGCUUCUAUUAAACACAGCUCUUCUCAAAAUCAGAUCCCAAGGUCAAACAGCCAAAGGGAGACAAAAGCAGAACUUGGGAUGCCUGAGCACCAGUCACCUGCUCUGAGCACGAAGAAAACCCUGUGCCCAAAUACAGAAACCUCUGACUGCCAACCCCCUUCCCUCUCUGCCACCACACAUAUGUACCCUUCCUUUUCAUUUAUCCAGAUUGCUUGUGAGUUGGACUCAGUGCUGCUCUGAGCCAAGAGAAGUGACACGAUGCGGAAGCAUGACGUUGUAUUGCAUUAUACUCAUUUAUAUAGCACUAUUCGUGCCAAAGUCUUGUUCCCUGCUAGAGCCAGUUGCUCACUAAAGCCUCUGAAGUUCAAUUAACAAGCACCAGGUAAUUUAACACUUGACUCCCAAUAAUCCCUUUAUUUUAAGGGGCCUCUGGCGGAUGCUGAAGCUCUCAGUAAACAGUCCUAGAAAUACAUUUGAGAUUCUCCCAAAUACCAGUUGAAUUUAUGACCCUUAAUGAAGAGCAGGGAGGAAUCUAUUCAAAAUACUUUCCAACUGGCAGCACUUUAUAUAGACCUCUGUAACUUUAUAAAAGGAACCCCUGCAGGGGCAGGUGCCACCCUGCGGAGGGACAAAUCCCUCUGAAGUGCCUACAGUGAAGAAGUAGACACCAUAAAUAAUGUCUCCCCACCAGAAAGCAGGGCAGGCUUGGUCCCCUCAGGUUCUGAGGGGGGAACCAACCUUCUGAGGGGCCAACCCAGGUCAAGCUGGGAAGACAACGGACCAGGCCACCCUUUGAUGAUCCCUGCCUGCAGAAUGUGUGAAGUCCCAUUUCCUCCUGCUUGAAAGGACUCUCAGGAUGCACUCACUUUUGUACAGCAAAGUGCAGUCAGCCUGGGACAGCCAAACAUGUCUGUGGAUGCAGAAUAGGAUGGCCAAACAGUCCCUCCCAGCAUGCCUGGUUAAUGCAUCUACCAGAGAAACAUCCCACCAGCAAACCAGCUGCUAGCAAUACCCAAGGACAGAAUUAAAUCAAUUCUUCUACGUAAGAGUGGGGCUAAAUUUUACUGUGAAAGCAUUCCAAAAACACCUGGAAUUUGUUCAUGGAGAAAUACUUUGCUGUCAGGAUCACAAGCAACAACGGCCAAAGAACAGAAUUUUGCUGACCCAACCAAAACUGCUGUGUUUGUCUUAUGGGACUGCCUAAAGGCACCCGUCCACGGUUGGGAUGUAAUUGUGCUGGGUGCUGUACGGACAGACAAGCAGACACAAUAUCCUGCCCCCAGGGCUUGAAUCUCAGAACCUCUUGAUUUUCUUUCAAAGCAUCUCUGGGCACACAGGAUAAAGGAUGAAGGCAGGGCUGAAGAACAACAGCAGCGAAGCACUCGCAUGGGACCCUGGCUCCUGGUCAGCUCAGAGGUUUUGUGCCAUAGUGAAGUUUGAGCAGAGGGAUGCACAGCUUACCCUGGUAUAUCAAAUGUAUGUAAGGGCCCUUUUCCCUAACCUGUACAUCUGAUGAAUGCAUUGCAUAUCAACACUUCCCCAUUACAUCUGCUUCCGGUGCAUGUUUCAUAUAUUUAUAUAUAUGUACGUUGAAAAAUAAAACCAAAAAUAAUAAAACAAAUAGAUAUCA